rnacentral:rRNA from 1 species
UGCGCAGGCGGACCUAUCAGUCAGUGGUGAAAUCCCGGGGCUCAACUCCGGAACUGCCAUUGAUACUGUAGGUCUUGAGUUUGGUUGAAGUGGGCGGAAUGUAGCAUGUAGCGGUGAAAUGCAUAGAUAUGCUACAGAACACCGAUCGCGAAGGCAGCUCACUAAACCAAUACUGACGCUCAGGCACGAAAGCGUGGGUAGCGAACAGGAUUAGAUACCCUGGUAGUCC